rnacentral:piRNA from 1 species
UGGGAACUUGCCAGAUCUUGAUGCUGCAC